ensembl:lncRNA
CCACACACCCUCCAGUGCCAGACUGCAUGAGACGCCUCUUUUUCUAAGCACGUUGUUGUGGCAGCCUCCCCAGGGGACACCCAGCCCUCCCACGUGCGCCUGCCCUGGGACAACGAAGGAGUAAGUCUGCAGAUGCACUGCAGAUGCACCAAGGAGCAGGGCAGCAUCCUGCUGCCAAGGGGGCAAACCUCACCCCCUCCCCACCAGGAUUAGCUGGUGCAGGAGACACAUCCAGCACACACAGAGUUUAGUAAAAUAUGCACUUCAUGGGUCAGUGUUUCUAGAUUUAAUGAAGGACUCGUGCCUUAGGCACAGGGUUGGGGUCUGACCCAGCAGCAGCUCAGCACCACACAGCCCUUUGCUCACAUCCUCCCCCCAGUGGGAGGGGGGAGAGAAUCAGGAGAAAGAAAGCAACGUAGAACUCAUAGGUGGAGGUAAAAGCUAUUUACUAAGACAGAAAAGGAAGAGAAUAGGAAAAUAGUAGCGACAAUAAUAUAUAUUUACAAAGUAAGUGAUGCACAGUGCAAUUGCUGACCACCCGCCGACCAAUGCCCACCGGUCCUGAGCAGCAGCUGCUCCAGCAGUUCCCCACUGCUGUCCAGGCUUUCUGCAUGAAGCCAUGUGGUAUGGGACACCCCUGCGGUCAGCUGAGGUCAGCUGUCCUGGCUCCAUCCCCUCCCAGCUCCCUGUGCCCCCCCAGCCCCUCACUGGCAGCACAGUGCCAGAAGCUGAAGACUGAAAGGUGGUUGCAGCAGUGCUCAGCAGCAGCCAAACAUCGCUGUGCUAUCAGCAUCAUUUUUCUCCCAAAGCCAAAACUCAGCACCCUACUAUGCUACUCCUACACUAUGAAGGAAAAAUUCAACUAUGUCCCAGCUGAAACCAGAACAAAAAGUCACCUUCUACCCAAUACAACCCGCCAAUAAUUAGCUUUCAGGAUCACAUCCCAUCUGAUCACCACACCUCCACGUAUUUCCAGCCUGUCCACAUCCCUGAGCCAUGCCAGGAGCCCUGCUGCCAUCCCUUACACACACCCCGCUGCAGCACAGCCCCCCAACCUGUUUUCACCUGCAGUAAAUCCCAGUGCUGUUCUCAACCCAGCCAUCAGCCACAGGUUCAGACCUGCAAUUACUUGUGGGACAGUUAUUUAUUAGUAAAUGUCCGGCUGCCGGAUUUAUAGCCAUGGAGGCUUGAUGCAGUGGCAGGCAGGGAACAGCUAAGCAUCCUUGUCUGUAAAUAAGCCAUCAGGACAUCUGGGUGAUUUGCAGAUCCAGCUACAAUCAUUUAUAGUUGGAACAGAGAGGUCCUAUUGCCAACACCUGCCCUGAGCCUGCAGGCACCACUUCAGCAGAUGCGUUGGAUGAACCACUAUGAGAAUCUCACUUCACUGUGAAUCCAAGUGUUCCUAAACAUCAAGGAAGGAAAGAAACAGCAGAGCUGUUGAACUGGGCUUGGUUUCUGGCACCUGAGCCAAGGAUUCCCCUCACCUGUGCCGCUAUACCACGCUGAAGUUACAACUUGGCAGUAGACUGGGAGUGAUCCUGCCCUCUGGCACUGGCAACCUCACAAAUACCCACUGCUGCCCAAACGGGCAACUGUCCAUGGCCUGUCUGGUGCCUGCACUGUUAUUACGAGGUCUUACAACCAGCCCGGGGAGGUUUCCCAUGCACAUCUCUCUGGGAAAAAGCCAAGCUCCUGGAUAAGCACAGAGCCCAGCAGUGCUCUUACAGCCACGUGGGAUCUGAGCGCUUACAAACCCACUGCUGAGAGCCACAGCAUAACAGGAGCCGAGGAGGUGGUGCCACAGCGGUGGCCACAGAGAUCAUAGAGUAAUAGAAUUGAGUUGGAAGGGACCUUUAAAGGUCAUCUGGUCCAACUCUCCUGUGGAUGACAGCCCCGGCUCCUUCAGGUCCACCUCUCCUGGAGCAGGGGCUACCCUGGCUCAGGGCUGCUCACACAGUUGCUCAAGGAAGGAAAGAAAACCCAGUGGCAGUUCAAAAACACCCAAACACUCUGCACAAGCUUUUGGGGUGGAAGUUGAAGAAGAGACCACAGCAACUGGCACUGACACAGCUGCCCAGAGAGCUGUGGGUACCCCAUCCCUGGAGGUGCUCAAGGCCAGGUGGGAUGAGGCCCUGGGCAGCCUGAGCUGGUGGGGGCAGCCAGCCCAUGGCAGGGGUUGGGACUCGGUGGGCUGCAAGUUCCCCUCCAACCCAAGCCCUUCUAUGGUUCUAUGAAUUGGCUGAGGAGUUUUACGGAGGCAGAACUAAGUUGUCAAAGCUGUGACACGGCCAGGGCACCAGCUCAACCAUGGCCUAAGACUGUAACAGGACCUGAUGUCCACAGAGACCUAACGCUUGGCUUUAUGCCUCCUCCAAUACACAGCCCAAGGGGCAGAGGCUCUCCCAUUGAUCUCUGCAGGACAAAUACCUCCUGUGUCAUUCACAAACUUCUUAUGAGGCUUGGGCUUUUCACAGCAGCUUCCCACAUGGCCGCUGACCCCAUCAAACACAUCACAUAGUUGCUACCAUACACCAAACACAGCCCAGCCCUGGGACUGUGCACACUGGGCCAUGCUCCCUGUCACACCCCACCGCUCCCUGUCAUCCAUCUCCAGCUGCUGUGGCACCAGGUCCAGCUUUAUGGUUUCACCUCAGAUCCUAAAGGAUACCAAGAAGCGGGUCAAGUUCAGAAGAAACGCACGGUUUUACCAUCCACAAUACAUGAGCAAGGAUCCUGCUCUCGCCCCGUGUUGGUCGGGGAGCUCAAGGCACAGAAUCAUCUCCACAGCCAGAGCCAGGCCUUGUGCUGCUCCUCCAGCACACGCAGCCGCUCCGAGAUCCUCGCCAGCUGCAAGGAGAGCAGCGUGAGGAGCACCACCCAGGGCUAGUUGGCAAUGCCAGCAAACCAGGCCCUAGCAACGAGACCCGGAGCACACUCAUCCACUCUCUUGCAGCUUCCCCAGGAAACACCUGCAGCCUUACACUCCUUCUCUCACCUCCUUUUUCAUCGCUGCAGCCUCAGCCACAAUGACCUCCUCCGGGGCUGCGCCAACCUCCUGGGAGCUGCGGGAGGAAAACAGAGAUGCACACUGUUCAGGAGGUACAGUUACCCUCCUGCACACAUGGCACUGCCGUGAGGAGCCAUGCAGCACUGUGCACACCCAGCAUGCAGGAUAGGGAGAGAGGAAACAGCACUCACACAACAUCUACCAACUUCUUCUUACCCCCAUCAUGCUUAUGCAUCCACCAUGCAGCCCGCAGCGAUCACAACAAAGCACUCAAUGCAUGCUACAACAGGCAACAGGAAAACCACAUGCUUAUGUUUUUUUAGAUACCCAACAGAGAGGAAACAUAUUUACCCAAAGUCCAUUUCCUAUAGCCAGAGGAAUCCACUGAGGAUUGGAUAAACCAUCAUUAGAGCAAGUCAGGCAAACAGAGAUCCCACAGCCAGUGCCCAGAUGGAGGGAUGGUAUUUACCCAGCAAGAGAAGACCCAGUGGGUAGGAAGCAGCCACCAGCAGGGGGACCUAUCUGAGCACGUGCCUGGGUUUGCUGGCACCGGGAUUUGGUCCUCUCCAAUACUUCCCUCACAAAAGGCAUUGUCUUUUUCCCUCACAGCAAAUGUUAUUUGCAAUCAGAAGUAUAAACAAGCAUUCCAACCAUGCACCACUUCCCUCCUUCCUUGAAAACAAAGGGACAGAGGCCAUGGCUGAGCAUCUCCUGCAGAUACAACCUUGCUCCAGGGCUCACAGCACAAAGCCACAAAUAAAGUAGAUCCACACUGAGAAACUAGAGUUGCCAUGUUCAUCUGUUAUUCCCAUCAUUAUAGGGUAGCGCUCCAUCAGCUCAUCUGUAAUCCAAAGUUCUCCUGUAGACACCAACAUGGUGGGUGCCCCAUCCCUGGAGAUACCCAAGGUCAGGCUGGACAGGGCUCUGAGCACCUGACGGAGCCGUAGGUGACCCUGCUCAUUGCAGGGGAAUUGGAUCUGAUGGCCUUUAAGGGUCCCUUCCAACUCAAACCACGCUAUGUUUUGCCACAGGCCCUCAUUGACACGUUAUGGGUUAACAGAGUUGAACAAGUUCCUCUGAGGACCCCAGGAAGGGAAGAACUCACUCAUGUCAUUCAGGGAGUUGGCCCGAAAACACAUUCUUGAGAUAAUACAUCCACAUAAUGCAGCUGUGGUAAAUAUGAAAGUCACAAUAGAAAGAAUAUCAAAUUUCACCCGGUACAAAGCCAUUAAAAUUGGACAUUUCCUGCAGCUUUUACUUGAAAAAUCCCCAUUGACACAAGCGAACACCCUUUACAGUAGAGAACAGAAAUUACCUCUGAUGACUCAUACCCUUCAAGAGGUCACUGCCAUGGAAAUAUUCCAGCCUCUCUCUGAGGCCAGAGCUUUCUUUAUUAGAACUUCAGGAUAAACAAGUCAGCUCAGUCUCUUUCUUAUUGCUGUGGGGAGUACGAAAGAAUGCAUGCAUUUCAAAUGAUGCAGAGUAGCAAGACAAGGCAUUCCAAGUUGCCUGGCUCCAAAGGUAGAUGGAGAGCUGGGAAGAGCUCAGGACUCACCCUACUCUCUAAGUUCCCUCCUCCACAGUACCAUGGCUAAAAAACUCCUCCACGUCAGACAGGAGGAGGUCUAUGUGUGCAAUAACCAAACUUUUAAAAGCUAAAAAAAAAAAAAGCCACAUUUGAAGAUGUCCCUGCUUUUAAGCAGCGUGCCGGCCAUCACCUGGUACUGCCCACAGAGAGAAACUCUGCUGCCUGCAGCCCUGCUCCAGUCGGGGAGGGAAGGUACCAUGUGCCAGGGUGGCAUGGAUGAUGGAUGCUCCCCCUCCUCCCCAUCUGCCUGGAGGUUUUGCUCAAGGAGAGUUAGAAGUAUUCUGACAAUUCAACCUCGGUGAUUCUGUGAUUCUAUGAUUUUUAGGUGAGGUGCCCCUGUGUGGAGCCAGGAUUUGGAUUAGAUGAUCCUUAGGGGUCCCUUCCAACACAGGAUAGUCUAUGGUUCUAUGAAAAGGUUACUGAAAAGCAACCAAGAGAUGGCCAUGCAUGUUGCAAGGACACAGGAGAGGUGUCUUGGUGACAGGAUCAAGACUGGGCCAUCUGUGCUGGGUUUUGAUUCCCUUUCGACAUUUCUCUCCAUCACGCUAUCAAGGCAUACAGAAAGAGUAGCAUUGAAGAGUAGCUCAAACUCAGUAGUGUCACAGGAGGUGUUAGGUCCCUUGGGUAGCACAAAACCAAGCAGGAGGCACCCAGCCUGACCACACCAGGCGCCCAGAGCUGGCAGCAUAAGUAAGAAGAAGGGGGCUGGAGCAGCCAUAUCCUGUGAGGUUAGAAAGCUCAGGGCUGGCUCCUGCCUCAGCAAGGCAAAGUUAGGUCUGUGUAGAGCAGCUGGAGGUGGCUCAGGACAAGCCAACGUCACCUGGAUGGCACCGGGUCUUGCAGAGAGUUCUGGACACGGUGGAAGAGCACCUGGCCCAGCAGGUACAUGGUCUGGAAGAUGUUCUGCAUGGAGUAGAUCCUGCCUGUCCCAGCAAAGAGGGGAAGUGGGGCACUGUGAGCAGGAGGGGGGCAGGUGUCCAGCCUGGGAUGCACACAGAACCACACUGGUUACUGCCUGGCCUCACACAGCACAAUCACAGGCCCUAUGUCCCUCCAGCAGCUCCGAGCACCACAGGGCGAUGCCAUCAACACCCAGACCUCUGUGUCACCGGGUGAGAGGAGCUCCUCCAGCAGCCCAGGUUCAGUCGCUUGGAUCCUCCAAAGGCUGCAAUGACAGUGUGAUAACCACACCUCUCUGCCAGCCCAGAACAGGCUUUCUUCUAGGCAGAAGAUGGCUCUGCUCUGGGAUUAAGUUCAAGGAUUUUCACCACUGGAGAGAAAGCCCAUGAUGUCAACCAUAUUAUUACUCAAAAAAAGCACGUGUGCUCUUUGCUCACCCUGGCUGCAAACCCAACAGCCAGGUAAGGACCCUCAGGGCUGCCACCAAGCUCCAAGUGGGGACACACUGUCCCACUUGCAUCAGGUGGCAGAAAACCUCUCCUUACUGAUACCAGAGGACACUUUCCUCUUAAGUAACUUCAUGCAAGACUAGGGCUAGCCCUGAUUUGGAUUAGCCCCAUCUUGGGGCACCAACACAAAGCAUCAAAGACCCCACAGAUGCUGGUCCCCACCCACCCUGUACCACUCUAGGUCCAUGCUCACCGCUCAUGGUGCCGGGCUGGGCUGUGCAAGACCAGCUGGGCACUGUCACUUGGGGACUGCUGUGACCCGCUGCUGUGCUGGCUCUGCCGCCGUGACCUGCUGCUGUGGUGGCCCUGUUGGCAUCAAACACAGAUGCAGUGGAGUCAAUGAAUCAUCAAGGUUGGAAAAGACCACUAAGAUCAUCCAGUCCAACCAUCAACCCAUCGCCACCAUGCUCAGUUUAGGCAGAGCCAACCCUGUGCCCCAUGAAAAGCCCUCCGUGGUGGGGGCAUUGCACAAACCCCAGCCCAGUGAGAUGAUCCUGGACCUCCUGAGCAAACCAACCACUGGGAACGUGCUCCCUUUGCCAACACAAGCAAGCCCACCCACUCCCGUUACAGUACCAGUCGUCUGCGAUUCUGGGCACUUGAUCUGCCAGCCACGUGCAUAAAAGGGGUCUCCCCCAGCGUGGAGUGCUGAGCCGAGGAGUCUAUGGAUACGCACACCUCAGUGGAGGGGAUAUUCCUCUGCUGGUCCAGCAGGAUGGGUCUCAGAUCUGCAUCUGAUGUUUCCACAGAAAAAAGAGAGGGAAGAAUGAAACAACCCCAACGUGCUCCAUUGUUCUCAGGGCAGCAGGGAAGAGAGAUUCUCUCAUAUAGGGCUGUCAGCCCUGUGCCCACUGUUACCGGAUGCACAUCAAAAGCCACAUUCUGAAAAUGCGAGCAACUGGAGAGCCUGGAGAGGCGUGGACUGGAAAUCAGCUGGAUGUACCACUCCAGGAAAGCAGAGGUUGGGAAGAGUUUGUCAAAGAACAGGCCCAUAUAUCUCAGCAUCCCAAAAACUGAGAGGAAACUGGAAGACGUGGAAGGAGAUGCCUCCAGAUUUUGCUCCUCACAUUUUGAAUCGAAGGCCCCUCCUGCCUUCUGCUGGUCACCUUCAUCCACCUUUCCUCCUUAGGCAUCUCUUCACUUUCCCACACUACCUUCCAGGAGAAAGAUGACUACAAUAUCUGACCCUUUCCUCUCUUGCAAAGCAAACCACUGAGCGCUUUAGAAAAUAGUUCUCCCUACAACGUUACAGAGCCCCGCCAAACUUCAGGCACCCCAAAAAAAACCCAGUACAUUACCUGCAAGAGAAAUCCUAACAGGGAUGCGUGUUGGAAAGGAAGGGGGUACACCUUCAGACGUGGGCUCCUCAUCCACAGGGCUGAAGCUGUUUGCCACAGUGAGUCUGUUGGGGACCCGCAUCCUUCGAUUGAUGUCCUCAGUGAAGAGCAGGUCACAGCGGACUACGUUCACUUUCUGCUCCAAAAGCGGCCACAUCUUGUUUGUUUCACCCAGACUGCACGGGCAGCCAAGCGACACCUGCACAGGGGCAGCACACGUGCUGUAAGGCACCUAUACAUAGGCAGAAACAACAACAAACAGAACCAUAGGAGAACAGGGAGUCCUAUGGAGCCCAGCUGGCAGGGGCGAGUGCAUGGGGUGGGAAGAGCUGCCAGCAGGAUGAGAUGGGAGAACUAAACUCUCCCCACACACACUUUUACCAUAGAAUCCCCUAAGGCCAUACUGCACCCAUGCCCAUCUCCCGGAGGGAUCCACACCAAGGAGCUGAAUGGGAUGGACUUUGUUUCAGGCAGUGGUGUUGGACACUGACCAUCUUCCCACAGGGAAAGGAAGCCUCUUCCAGCAAGGACACAGCAGGGACACAGGUCCCCAGUCCCUCUGCUUUCUGAUUUAUUGUUCUUGACAUUACUGAUGUGCUGCUCUGGG